CAUUAUUCAACCUUCAGUAUCAGGAUGAGGCAACCUGUACUCUGGAAUUCAUUCAGAUGCGCUUUCUUGGAAUUAAUCCAGAGAGAGGGACAAAGGCCAAAAGGGGCAAAGUUGUCUCUAAGAAAAAGGGAGUGAUUGUCCAGAAAAAGUCCUGCACAGUCAACAUGCAUGUUGCCAUAUUACUGAAGAAUCUCCUUGACUUUGAAUGGAACUUCAUUUAGAUCAUGGCAACACUGGAAUAAUGCUGCAGAGAGGAACAGUGGCAACCAAAGUGAUGAUCAUCUCUCCUGGAUCAACAAGAACUAAGAUGUAAAAACCCAGACCUACC